GUUUUAAUAAUUUAAUAAAAAAUAUUGGUCUUGUAAAUCAAAAAUAAGGUCCCUUUUAAAACU
rnacentral:tRNA from 1 species